rnacentral:rRNA from 1 species
UACGAAGGGGGCUAGCGUCGCUCGGAAUUACUGGGCGUAAAGCGCACGUAGGCGGAUUCUUAAGUCAGGGGUGAAAUCCCGGAGCUCAACUCCGGAACUGCCUUUGAUACUGAGAAUCUCGAGUCCGGGAGAGGUGAGUGGAACUCCGAGUGUAGAGGUGAAAUUCGUAGAUAUUCGGAAGAACACCAGUGGCGAAGGCGGCUCACUGGCCCGGUACUGACGCUGAGGUGCGAAAGCGUGGGGAGCAAACAGG